CAUCAGAGUUGUUACUGCAGGAACUGCCGCAAUUAAAUCCCACCUGCAGCUGUAUUCUCCUUGCUGCUGGCUCCUAAUGCCAGCCACAUUGCUUGUUCCUCUGCACAGAUCCCCCAGUACCGCUACACACUUACCAGCUACAGUUGAAGUAAUUCUGCUUUUGUUUGGUAAACCUGCCCCCAUGUGAUGAUUGGUCAGAUGAUCAAGUCUGUUGUAAACAAAAAGGUUUAAUUGCAAACUUCAUGCGUUUGGAAAGUGACAGAAUCCUGUACAGAGAAAGAACAUUGGAUUCAAACUAAGGUCCCUUGUCACUCAGGGUAAAUCUCGGAAUAAAGCAUGAAUUUAUUGAUCUCAUUUUCCUUCCUGGUUUUCUAUGUUGGAGUAGCCCAUG